rnacentral:rRNA from 1 species
UGGGGAAUCUUGCACAAUGGAGGAAACUCUGAUGCAGCGACGCCGCGUGAGCGAUGAAGCCCUUCGGGGUGUAAAGCUCUUUCGACGGGAACGAUAAUGACGGUACCCGAAGAAGAAGCUGCGGCUAACUACGUGCCAGCAGCCGCGGUAAUACGUAGGCAGCAAGCGUUGUUCGGAAUUACUGGGCGUAAAGAGUGUGUAGGCGGUGCUCCAAGUCUGGUGUGAAAUCUCCCGGCUCAACUGGGAGGGUGCGCUAGAAACUGGAAUGCUAGAGGAUGGGAGAGGUAAGCGGAAUUCCUGGUGUAGCGGUGAAAUGCGUAGAUAUCAGGAGGAACACCUGUGGUGUAGACAGCUUACUGGACCAUUUCUGACGCUGAGACACGAAAGCGUGGGUAGCAAACA